CCUAGGGGCGCUGCAGUGAGGAAUAUUGCACAAUGGGGGGAACCCUGAUGCAGCAACGCCGCGUGGAGGAUGACGCAUUUCGGUGUGUAAACUCCUUUUAUAUGUCAAGAAAAUGACGGUAGCAUAUGAAUAAGCACCGGCUAACUCCGUGCCAGCAGCCGCGGUAAUACGGAGGGUGCAAGCGUUACUCGGAAUCACUGGGCGUAAAGGACGCGUAGGCGGGUUGGAAAGUCAGGUGUGAAAUCCUACAGCUUAACUGUAGAACUGCACUUGAAACUUCUAAUCUAGAGUAUGGGAGGGGGAGAUGGAAUUAGUGGUGUAGGGGUAAAAUCCGUAGAUAUCACUAGGAAUACCUAAAGCGAAGGCGAUCUCCUGGAACAUUACUGACGCUAAGGCAUGAAAGCGUGGGAAGCAAACAGGAUUAGAUACCCCGGUAGUC
rnacentral:rRNA from 1 species